rnacentral:rRNA from 1 species
GACGGAGGGUGCAAGCGUUGUUCGGAAUUAUUGGGCGUAAAGGGCGCGUAGGCGGCUUCGCAAGUCGAAUGUGAAAGCCCUCGGCUCAACCGAGGAAGUGCAUCCGAAACUGCCAAGCUUGAGUGUCGGAGAGGGUGGUGGAAUUCCUGGUGUAGAGGUGAAAUUCGUAGAUAUCAGGAGGAACACCCGAGGCGAAGGCGACCACCUGGACGAACACUGACGCUGAGGCGCGAAAGCGUGGGGAGCAAACAGGAUUAGAUACCCCCGUA